GAUGAACGCUGGCGGCGUGCCUAAUACAUGCAAGUCGAGCGAACGGACGAUAAGCUUUUUUCUUUGAUGUUAGCGGCGGACGGGUGAGUAACACGUGGAUAAUCUAACUAUAAGACUGGGAUAACGUCGGGAAACCGGAGCUAAUACCGGAUGAUAACUUGAACCGCAUUGUUCAUAAAUUAAAUACGGUCUUGCUGUCACUUAUAGAUGGAUCCACACUGCAUUAGCGAGUUGGUAAAUUAACAGCUUACCAAGGCAAGGGUGGAUAACCGACCUAGAAGGGUGAUGGGGAAAACAGGAACUGGAACACAAUCAAGAAUCCUACGAGAGGCAGCAGCAGGGAAGCUUCCGCAAUGGGCGAAAGCCUGACGAAGCAACCCCGCGUGGGUGAUGAAGGUCUUCGGAUCGUAAACCCCUCUUAUGAGGGAAGAACAUAUGUGUAAGUAACUGUGCACAUCUUGACGGUACCGAAUCAGAAAGCACCGGCUAACUACGUG
rnacentral:rRNA from 1 species